rnacentral:lncRNA from 1 species
GAUGAAAACAUUAAAACUUGGGAUGCGUUUGAAACGAAACUGAAACAAUAUCAAGACACAAAUUUCAUACAGCUAUAGAUACAAACGCAGCUCUAAAAAAAUUGAUACAUCAAAAGCAAAGUUUGCUAACUGUUAAGUUGUAUACUAAAAUCUGAGGUAAACCUAAAAUCCGUAAUGGACGGCAAUGUGAUCAUAUUGAUAGACGACAUGAAACUACACCACAUGCUUCCAAC